rnacentral:rRNA from 1 species
UACGAAGGGUGCAAGCGUUAAUCGGAAUUAUUGGGCGUAAAGAGCUCGUAGGCGGUUUGUUGCGUCGGCUGUGAAAUCCCGAGGCUCAACCUCGGGUCUGCAGUCGAUACGAGCAAACUAGAGUGUUGCAGGGGAGACUGGAAUUCCUGGUGUAGCGGUGAAAUGCGCAGAUAUCAGGAGGAACACCGGUGGCGAAGGCGGAUCUCUGGGCCAUUACUGACGCUGAGGAGCGAAAGCGUGGGGAGCGAACAGG